rnacentral:rRNA from 1 species
AUUGAACGCUGGCGGCAGGCCUAACACAUGCAAGUCGAGCGGAUGAAGGGAGCUUGCUCCUGGAUUCAGCGGCGGACGGGUGAGUAAUGCCUAGGAAUCUGCCUGGUAGUGGGGGAUAACGUCCGGAAACGGGCGCUAAUACCGCAUACGUCCUGAGGGAGAAAGUGGGGGAUCUUCGGACCUCACGCUAUCAGAUGAGCCUAGGUCGGAUUAGCUAGUUGGUGGGGUAAAGGCCUACCAAGGCGACGAUCCGUAACUGGUCUGAGAGGAUGAUCAGUCACACUGGAACUGAGACACGGUCCAGACUCCUACGGGAGGCAGCAGUGGGGAAUAUUAGACAAUGGGCGAAAGCCUGAUCCAGCCAUGCCGCGUGUGUGAAGAAGGUCUUCGGAUUGUAAAGCACUUUAAGUUGGGAGGAAGGGCAGUAAGUUAAUACCUUGCUGUUUUGACGGUACCAACAGAAUAAGCACCGGCUAACUUCGUG